rnacentral:rRNA from 1 species
GACGAACGCUGGCGGCGUGCUUAACACAUGCAAGUCGAACGGUAAGGCCCUUCGGGGUACACGAGUGGCGAACGGGUGAGUAACACGUGGGUGAUCUGCCCUGCACUUCGGGAUAGGCCUGGGAAACUGGGUCUAAUACCGGAUAGGACCACUGCCUGCAUGGGUGGUGGUGGAAAGCUUUUGCGGUGUGGGAUGGGCCCGCGGCCUAUCAGCUUGUUGGUGGGGUGAUGGCCUACCAAGGCGACGACGGGUAGCCGGCCUGAGAGGGUGACCGGCCACACUGGGACUGAGAUACGGCCCAGACUCCUACGGGAGGCAGCAGUGGGGAAUAUUGCACAAUGGGCGCAAGCCUGAUGCAGCGACGCCGCGUGAGGGAUGACGGCCUUCGGGUUGUAAACCUCUUUCAGCACCGACGAAGCGCAAGUGACGGUAGGUGCAGAAGAAGGACCGACCAACUACGUGCCAGCAGCCGCCGUAA